GGGGCAGUGCAGGACAAGGAGCAUGGAAAGCACUUCCUCCUCGCCAUCCCCACACUCUGUAGAGCCAUCAAGCAGAUGGGAGAGGAGACUCUGGAGCCAGAGUCCUGCAAAGUGGUCCUAUUACAGAAGAUGGGCCUGAUGGAGACGGUGGCAUUGGAUGAAAAGCCAAAUAGGAUCCUGUGCUACAACAUGCCUGCAAUCUGCAGCCUCAGGUACUGGUGCCCCUGCCCAACACCUCCAGCCCUGAUAUUGGCUUUGGCCCUGGGUUGGAGCUCCUCACCCGCCCCAGCCAAAUCACCUGCCCCCAGUGGCCAUCGUGCAUUUAUGCCAAAGAGCAAGGGCAUCACUUCCUCGUGGCUGAGGAGGUAUUUCCCUCCAAGAGUGGCACAAGGACCUUCACAAGAUAAUAGCUCUGGGGGUCUUGCAGGAGGGCAGCAGGGUCACAGGGGGCGGUGGGAGAGGGGGCUCUAUUGCAGCCCUGAUGCAGAUGGGCUGGGAGACGUCAGCCAUUUCAUAACCACCUGUCAGCUCCUGCUUUCACUGGCCAACUACCCAGCCUGUGUCCAGCCCAGAGCGGUACCCCUGCCAACCCUGUAGAGCUCAGUCUCACACAGGCUCCUGACAGCGAGCUGAAGCCAGCCUUGGAGCCAGCCAUGGAGUCAUGCCUGCUGCAGACCACCCUGAAGAUCUGCAAGACGUUCCCAACACAGAAGAGCCUUUGGACCAGGGUCACUCCUCCUCCCCCUACACAGUCCUGCCUGCCAACCCAUGGAACCGGAGUUCUGCAAAGUGAUCCUACAAUGGAAGAUCAUUGUGAACUUGGCAAAGCUGGGCAAUGUGGAACUGUUGGAGAUAGUGGUACUGGAUGAAGAGCCAAACAGGAUCCUGUGCUACAGCAUGGCUGCCAUCUGCAGCUUCAGGUACUGGUGCCACUGCCCAACACUUUCAGCCCUGAUACUGGCUCUGGCCCUGGGUUAGAGUUGCUUACCCACCUCAGCCAAGUCACCUGCCCCCAGUGGCCAGCCUCCAUUUUUGCCAAAGAGCAUGGGCAUCAUUUCCUCCUGGCUGGACAUGCAUUUUCCUCCACGGGUGUCAGGAGGUCCUUGAGGAGAGGAUAGCUGUGAGGGUCUUGCAGGAGGUCAUCAGGGUCACAGGGGACACUGGGAGACGGGGCUCUAUCGCAGCCCUGAUGCUGAUGGGCUGGGAGACUUCAGCUGGUUCGUAAUCACCUGUCACCUCCUGCUUCCACUGCUGCCAGCUGGUGCCAACUCCACCGCCUGCAUCCAGCCCAAAGCAGUGCCCCCACCAGCCCCACAGAGCUCAGGCUCACACAGGCUCCUCUCUCCUGACAACGAGCUGAAGCCAGCCCUGGAGCCAGCUAUGGAGUCGUGCCUGCUGCAGACCACCCUGAAGAUUGCCUGACGUCCCCAAAACAGAACAGCCUUUGGACCCCAACCAAACAGCAGAAGCACAUGGAGGACCUGGAAGCCAUGCUGAGGAGCCUGUUGGCCAGCGCAUCCAGCUUGGGCAGGCUGCAGUUCCUUUGGGAGCACCUGAAAUCCUGGCUGCAGUCUGCCAAUGCCAAGGAUAGGAUGAAGAGCAUGAGAAGCAGGAGGGCCCUGCUCUGCUUUGCUGUCUCCCUCCUCCCGCAGUUUGAGUUAGGACUCGCCCGACAUGCCCCAGAUGGGUGACACCACGGCCCAGCUGUGUCUGUCCCUCAGCCACCCAGCAGCAGACACCAGCUGCCAGGCCAGGGAGGGCAUCUACCUGCUCGCCCAAAUCCUGCGGCACCACAAGGGUAAGGAAGCCCGGUCAGGGUGCAAGACCCCUAUGGAAACAAUCCUUCUGCCCACACACUGAUCUCAGCUUGGGGGGAAGAAGCUUCCCCUGCCAACGUCUGCCCACACCCAGAUUAGUGUGCAAAUGUACACCAGCCUUUCACUCCAGAGCCCAGCUUGACCUCAGGCUAGGAAAAUCAGCAUGUUCAGGGUCUAACGUCAAAAGUGGGGAAAGGAAAGAUGCUGGGAGAGACAUGGUGGGAAAGAGCCCCCGCUGGGCAGGAGCAGUAGCACAGACCACAAGCAAGAGCCUGGGGGUGUUGCCAGGGAAGUAACUUGGAGCAGCACUUGCUUUGACUGGGUGCGGGCAUUUCCCAUAUUUGACACUGCCUAAACCAAGCAGCCAGUCCCAGAGCCCCCAGAACAUAAAGGACACAGGAAACCUAGGGAGCCUGGAUCUCCUCAUAUGACCCAGGACGAUGAAACCCUGCCAGCGCCCUGUUCACAUGGUGCCAUGGGGGCACUGUUGGCUCCACUGGGCAGACACCAAACACUGAAGCCACAAUGCCAGCUCUGAGUAAGAUCUUCCUUUGUGUCCUAGGCCGAGACAUGCAGGAGGCAGAGGGGUUACACUGUCUAAGCCAGGCACAGCAGGCCCAUUUAGCUCUGGACCUGGCUUAAGUCGGGGAGGUGUUUCAAAAGAUCUUAUCAGAGGGGCAAAGGAGAUCUUUCGUGCAGAGGGCACUUGCGGGGGUGCUGGACAUCAACAUGUGUGUCAGCCGUGCUGCGCUGAUCCUCCUCUAUGCCAUGCUGGGGGAAGCCGGCUACCUGAUCGGGGACAAGGAGGAAGAAAUCCCCGCCAGGAUCAUGAGGAAGCUGCUUCAUGAAGGGCUUCAAACAGCUGCCCAGAGAGCUGCAGGGCCACAGCCUGCUGGCAAGCUCCUCCAGCACCCCCUCCCCUCUGCAGCAGCCCAAGGUCCCUUCUGCAGGUACCGUCCCCUCUCCUCUGCCCCUGCGGAUCAGGGACCUGUGAAAAGAAAGAUGGAGUCUCACGGCACCAACACAAACCUUCUCCCUUUGGUGUGUGAGGAGUUGUCCCCCCUGUCCCCAAAAACACCUGGCCUGGCAUUAGCUCUCCACUGCGCCCCAUUCCCUUCUCCUCCUGCCAUUGCCAGGGCCCAUUUCACCCCCUGCCCCCAGCCCUACACACCAGGCAGUGUGUGUUCAUCUCCCCAGGGAUUAACAGGACAUGGAAAUCAGGUCUCCCACAUCCAAAAUGACUGCUGUAACGACUUAGGCAUCUGACUAUGCCUCCAUCACAAGGCAGUCAAACAGACCAUCACCCUCCUGUUUAGAAGACUUAAAUGCACACCAAUGUCCAUAUCUAUUCAUCCACUGCUUUUUCUUGCCAUUUAUGGUGGCAUCUUCAACCAACACCAAGGCUGACAGCACCUCCCUGAGCAAAUGCAAUAUCCAGAGCCUCACAGGCAGCAAGACAGCCACAGAGGGAACCUCCAGCCCAGAAUCAGCCACCACGCUAGGGUCAGUGACUGAUGCAAACACCCCCUGAAUGAGUCAGAGCUAGCCUUCCCCCAGAGAGAUUACAAUAUCUACCCGGACAUGAGAAGUUACUAGUGGGUGGAGACUUUGGCCUAUUCUUCCACCCACUUUGCCCAUCAAGGUGUUGGGGGUAAAGAACAGGUGUCAUGAAUUUCCGGUCCCGCUGUUGUGGGAUCAAGAUAGCUGUUGCAGUGUAUGUGGCAUUUUGCAAUCCCAGGCUUCAGGGUUUAAGCUGGUUGCCAGUUGAGGCCAGGAAGUAAUUUUUCUCCCCUUUUCCCUUGAAGAUCAUGACUGUGGGGGCUUUUGCACCUUCCUCUGAGGCACUGGGGCACAAUAAGAUCAUAGUGGUGUCAUUCUCCAAACAGCAGGACUUAUGGCACCUGGCCAAACCAUGAAUCUUCAUUGGGCAGAGGAGGGAGACAGCAACAGCAAAUGUGGUGUCCCAUA